rnacentral:tRNA from 1 species
GCCUGGGUGGCUCAGUCGGUUAAGCAUCUGACUUCAGCUCAGGUCACGAUCUCGUGGUUUGUGAGUUUGAGCCCCACAUCAGGUU